rnacentral:rRNA from 1 species
GCAGCAGUCGAAGGUAGGGUCAGUAACUGGGGUGAAGUCGUAACAAGGUAGCCGUAUCGGAAGGUGCGGCUGGAUCACCUCCUUUCUAAGGAA